GAUGAACGCUGGCGGCGUGCUUAACACAUGCAAGUCGAACGGUGAAGCAGGAGCUUGCUCCUGUGGAUCAGUGGCGAACGGGUGAGUAACACGUGAGCAAUCUGCCCUGGACUCUGGGAUAAGCGUUGGAAACGACGUCUAAUACCGGAUACGAGGCGUGGGGGCAUCCCCAACGCCUGGAAAGAACUUCGGUCCAGGAUGAGCUCGCGGCCUAUCAGGUAGUUGGUGAGGUAACGGCUCACCAAGCCGACGACGGGUAGCCGGCCUGAGAGGGUGAACGGCCACACUGGGACUGAGACACGGCCCAGACUCCUACGGGAGGCAGCAGUGGGGAAUAUUGCACAAUGGGCGCAAGCCUGAUGCAGCAACGCCGCGUGAGGGAUGACGGCCUUCGGGUUGUAAACCUCUUUUAGCAGGGAAGAAGCGAAAGUGACGGUACCUGCAGAAAAAGCGCCGGCUAACUACGUGCCAGCCGCCGCGGUAACAC
rnacentral:rRNA from 1 species